GGCGCAGUGGCAGAGUGGUCUAAUGCGCAAGACUAGAAUCGUCGGGUUCCAACGACCCCGGUUGCUAUCUUGUUCCUUCGGGAGCGUCUGUUCGAAUCAGGCCUGCGUCG